GAUGAACGCUGGCGGCGUGCCUAAUACAUGCAAGUCGAGCGAACAGACGAGGAGCUUGCUCCUCUGACGUUAGCGGCGGACGGGUGAGUAACACGUGGAUAACCUACCUAUAAGACUGGGAUAACUUCGGGAAACCGGAGCUAAUACCGGAUAAUAUAUUGAACCGCAUGGUUCAAUAGUGAAAGACGGUUUUGCUGUCACUUAUAGAUGGAUCCGCGCCGCAUUAGCUAGUUGGUAAGGUAACGGCUUACCAAGGCGACGAUGCGUAGCCGACCUGAGAGGGUGAUCGGCCACACUGGAACUGAGACACGGUCCAGACUCCUACGGGAGGCAGCAGUAGGGAAUCUUCCGCAAUGGGCGAAAGCCUGACGGAGCAACGCCGCGUGAGUGAUGAAGGUCUUCGGAUCGUAAAACUCUGUUAUUGGGGAAGAACAAAUGUGUAAGUAACUAUGCACGUCUUGACGGUACCUAAGCAGAAAGCCACGGCUAACUACGU
rnacentral:rRNA from 1 species